rnacentral:rRNA from 1 species
CCCUUAGAUGUUCUGGGCCGCACGCGCGCUACACUGAUGCAUUCAACGAGUCUAAAACCUGCUCUGAUAGGGGUGGGUAAUCUUUUGAAUGUGCAUCGUGAUUGGGAUAGAUGAUUGCAAUUUUUCAUCUUCAACGAGGAAUGCCUAGUAAACGCAAGUCAUCAGCUUGCAUUGAUUACGUCCCUGCCCUUUGUACACACCGCCCGUCGCUCCUACCGAUUGAAUGAUCCGAUGAAUAUCAUGGAUUGAGGAUGCAAGUAGGUUAGCCUAUCUUCAUCUUCGAGAAGUGAAGUAAAUCUUAUCAUUUAGAGGAAGGAGAAGUCGGAACA